UCCCUGCGCCCACCAGACCCAGCCGGGAGCUCCCCCUGCUUCCUGCAAGAGACCAGAGCCCUCUGCGGGCGGGGUGGCAGCGCCCCACACACUGCCCCGCUGUGCGUGCUGGCUGCUCUCGGGAAGCUGCGGCACAACUAGAGCCCCUCAGAUCCUCUUUUGAGACCAAACUUCAUCAUACGCCCAAAAGCAGCAGCAGCAGCAUCGAGCCUCCAAGCAGCCCUGGUGAAGGAUCCCCUGGUAGUGUCUUGCAGUCUCAAGCACAGUCUCAGCCUUCUGCCUGUCACCAAGGGAAUUAUUUUCCUGCAAAUGAGAACGUGCAAAAAGUAAGUCUGAUAUGUCCCCAGGAGCCUGGAAGAUACAGGAGGGUUCUGAUAGGUGCGUGCAGCUUCCCACUACCUGAGUGUUCCCUAGUAAUCAAGCCUUGGGCCAAAAGGCAGCAGCAUGGCAGAGAGUCCAGUGCAGGACAGGGUGGGAACAACUUAAUAAAUGUGAGGUUCUGAGGACCCAUGAGAGCCUUUCAAAAUGAUUCUACCCUUUAAAAUGACGUAGUCCAGACAUGCUUUCUCUCUGAUCGGAGCACCUUUGUCCCGGUGACUAGUCUGUUCUGCCCCAGUGAUCAUUUUAAGGCAAAGGACUUGCUUUCUUGGGCCUCUCCUAUUGGUAUUGGGUACUGGGGUUAACGCAACCCCAUAGCCCAUCAGGCUGGGAGGGAUUCUGGGUCAGCUUGUGAGAAGGUGCUACGAGUUGUUCGGUUCUGGGAUACAGGCUGAGAACUUCCAUGGAGAAAAAGGAUUGUGUCCUGGGGUCUCAAGUCAUUUUCAUUCCACCCUUUCUAAGCCUUUUACAAAUGCUUUUGGCCUGUAUGCUUGUUUUACAUCAUGCAGACCUGACUCCGAUUUGGCAAUGACAUCCCGCUCUUUACUAAUCAAUCCUUUAAAAGAAAACAAAUCGUAGGCGCAAAAGUGCAACAGAGAAAUGUGGGAAAACAGGUGGAAGAUGGUGUUCCUCACUCUGAUGGAUAAUCCUGGCUCUGAGUUGGCACUUUAUUUAGUUCCUGAUACCUGGGGGCCUGGGGGGAACCCAAGGUCAAACGGGAAACCCGCCGGGGGGUUGGGAAGGGUCCGGGAAAAUGCAAGGGAAAACCUUCAGGGAUGCUGCUGCUAAGAAUGGGUUUUAGUAAUUUACUUUGUAAUACUAUCAUAAAUUGGAGUAAGAAUUCACCUGCCACUCUACCCCAAUACCCAUGUUGCUCCCUGGCUGUGUCAUGCUGAAAGAAGUCUAAGUAUUUCUCUGAGAUGGAGGCUUCCUGUGAGCUGUAAUUAUGCUCUGUGCCUGGGUCAGACAUGUUUGUGGUGUAAUAUGCUGUGCUGUUAAACUGCUGUAAGAAUGUGCCUUAGAGUGGGGACUUGUACAAGGACAGUGUCCCAAUCACUGACUAUGCGGAGGGGACAAGAACAUAAAGCUAUACAUCUUGUUUGCUGAUUAAAUACCCGUGUCCUU
rnacentral:lncRNA from 1 species